CAAGGACCCGCCGUCGCCGCGGGUGGCUAUCUCGGCCGCCGAUCCGCCGGGAAACU
rnacentral:ncRNA from 1 species